rnacentral:tRNA from 1 species
GGCUUUGAGGUGUAAACAUACAAGAUUGCAAAUCUUGAGAAGACGGUUAGACCCGUCCGGAGCUU